GCUGACAUUGUGAUGUAGCCUCAGUUCUUUGAGAGACAAGACAAAACAGCAGGGAAUAAUUUUAUGUCUGCAAGCCGCUGGAUGAUCAGUUUGGAGGGCAAGAUAUUUUAUGAGCCUGAGCAGAUGCACGACUUUGGCAGCACCCUUGCUGUCUUCUUUGCGUCAUACUACGUUUUCAACCUUGAGUAUCAGGAGUCAGCGUCCAUCACACUGGAGAUGAUACAGAGGUUCUUUGUGAGGAUCCAGACAUGGGAACAAAAUGCCCUGCAAAACUUGGUACAAGCCGCAAGACAGGUCGUGUCGUAAAGAGGAAGGUUACAAGCAUCAGCCCUCGGAUCACCACCUUCCUCCAGCGGCUCUCUGGAGGACUUCCAACUAGGUGGUGAUGAAGACUACGCUGACUACCAUCCUGGUAACGGAAAUCUAAAUCCCAUGUCACUUUCUAUUUCCUGAGACCCACUGAUAAUUAUUACAUUUUGUAAAUGAUUUUUGUUUUACAAUUGUAAUAGUUUAUUUAAUGUUCAUGCUGGUGGGUUUGUCCUGUUUUUAGUGGAAUGAAAAACUGUUUUCCUUAAAAAAUCAGACACAGAA